rnacentral:tRNA from 1 species
AGACAACAAAAUGUUUAAUAUUAUUAUUUUGUCACCUUAGGUCGAUCGGUAUCUCACGUUUUUAAUUUAUUAAGAAUUUCAUUUCCUAAGUUUUUCUAGGUCACACCCAUUAUUUUUCCUGGGCCAUUAGCUCAGGUGGUUAGAGCGCACCCCUGAUAAGGGUGAGGUCCCUGGUUCAAGUCCAGGAUGGCCCAUAUCUCUAUGUUGGGGGUAUAGCUCAGUUGGUAGAGCGCCUGCUUUGCAAGCAGGAUGUCAGCGGUUCGAGUCCGCUUACCUCCACUGAUUACCACCUCUUCCAUAACCGGUAGAAAGGAAAUGUUUUGAGUUGUGAUCCAAUUCUGAAAGAAUCUAGCUUCCUAAUGAAAACAUUAAGAUGCUGGACUCAUUGAAUUUAUUUCAUUGAUUUCAGAGAACCUUGACAACUGCAUAGAUUAUUUUUAAAGACAAUAAGCAUCUUUAAUGAUGCAGAUUUAUUAUUUGUGCGAAUGCAUUAAUAACAAUUCUAUUAAGCUGAUGCUUCAAUUUUUGAAGUUAUU